rnacentral:rRNA from 1 species
UACGGGGGGGAGCAAGCGUUGUUCGGAUUUACUGGGCGUAAAGGGCGCGUAGGCGGUCGUGACAAGUCACUUGUGAAAUCUCCGGGCUUAACUCGGAACGGUCAAGUGAUACUGUCGGACUAGAGUACAGAAGGGGCAACUGGAAUUCCUGGUGUAGCGGUGAAAUGCGCAGAUAUCAGGAGGAACACCGGUGGCGAAGGCGGGUCUCUGGGCCGAUACUGACGCUGAGGAGCGAAAGCGUGGGGAGCGAACAGG